rnacentral:rRNA from 1 species
GACGAACGCUGGCGGCGUGCCUAAUACAUGCAAGUCGAACGCAUUUUCUUUCACCGUAGCUUGCUACACCGAAAGAAACUGAGUGGCGAACGGGUGAGUAACACGUGGGUAACCUGCCCAUCAGCGGGGGAUAACACUUGGAAACAGGUGCUAAUACCGCAUAAUUCCAUUUACCGCAUGGUAGAUGGAUGAAAGGCGCUUUUGCGUCACUGAUGGAUGGACCCGCGGUGCAUUAGCUAGUUGGUGGGGUAACGGCCUACCAAGGCUGCGAUGCAUAGCCGACCUGAGAGGGUGAUCGGCCACACUGGGACUGAGACACGGCCCAGACUCCUACGGGAGGCAGCAGUAGGGAAUCUUCGGCAAUGGACGCAAGUCUGACCGAGCAACGCCGCGUGAGUGAAGAAGGUUUUCGGAUCGUAAAACUCUGUUGUUAGAGAAGAACAAGGAUGAGAGUGGAAAGUUCAUCCCUUGACGGUAUCUAACCAGAAAGCCACGGCUAACUACGUG